GGGAGGCAGCAGUCGGGAAUCUUGCACAAUGGGCGAAAGCCUGAUGCAGCAACGCCGUGUGAGCGAUGAAGGCCUUAGGGUCGUAAAGCUCUGUUUGCGAGGACGAAGGGCGAAGGGUUAAUAGCCCUUAGCCUGACGGUACUUGUACAGAAAGCCCCGGCUAACUACGUGCCAGCAGCCGCGGUAAU
rnacentral:rRNA from 1 species